GCUGGGCAUGGUGGCGUGUGCCUGUAAUCCCAGCUACUCAGGAGGCUGAGGCAGGAGAAUCGCUUGAACCCAGGAGGAGGGGGUUGCAGUGAGCUAAGAUCACACCACUGCACCCAGCCUGGGCAACAGAGCAAGAUUCUGUCUCAA
rnacentral:SRP_RNA from 2 species